CACCGAGUGUCAAAGCGCUGUAUACAACGACAACAAUACUGCUCUUGGCAUGGGAUUAGAAAAUUGGUUAUAAAAUAAGUUUAGUGCAACUUCUGAAAAUGAUAAUAUCGCGUUUCUCCUAACUCAUGGAAACAACGCUAGCAGACGUUUUACCAUCCACCAUGCCAGAUAUUCAACGCAGAAAUCCUGCUGGCAAGCGGCGUGUCUGUUAAUGUAUGUGUGUUAAUGCUUAUACGGUAUCCGUCGCCGUACCCACACAGCUGUAAGCCGGCUCGCUUGUUUCGCCAUGGCACGCACACAUUGCCGGGUAGACAGCAUUUGUUACUCAUACCAUCCGACCCAUAGCCAGGUGGCAUCGUUUUAACUCUCUCGCGAGGUGAAUGCUGACAUACUAAAGUACACCUUUCUUGUGAGCAAUGGGUAGAAAGAAACCGGGGGAGAGGAAAAAACGCAAAGAAAAGGAAACAUAAAAAACCCGUAUAAAUACAUUUGUGAAUGAUGAUGCAAAGGGUUGGAGUUGGAGGACUAACGAAAUAAGACGAAAAAAAUUGCACCAUUCGCAUUGGAUGGAAGCAUUCGAGAAGGCGAAUAAUACAACCAAACGCAAAAGAAGAGACGUAUCAAAAGAGAAAUGGCAAAGACGCUUUCCUCACUAUUUGAAAAUUAAAGGUAGAGCUCGUUUUGGGUGAAUUUUAGAGUGUGCCGUUCAUCCAACGCUGUUGAUGGAUGCAUAUAGCGUGAAUUGAAUCGUGCAUUUCCUUCGCAGCGAUUUUUAGCUCUGGAAUAUGUUUUCCAAAUGAGAGAAAGAAAGAAAAUAAAUCUUUUUUCCUUGUU